rnacentral:rRNA from 1 species
GUUACUGACACUGAGGAACGAAAGCAUGGGUAGCGAAGAGGAUUAGAUACCCUCGUAGUCCAUGCCGUAAACGAUGUGUGUUAGACGUUGGAAAUUUAUUUUCAGUGUCGCAGGGAAACCGAUAAACACACCGCCUGGGGAGUACGACCGCAAGGUUAAAACUCAAAUGAAUUGACGGGGACCCGCACAAGUAGUGGAGCAUGUGGUUUAAUUCGAAGAUACGCGCAGAACCUUACCAACACUUGACAUGUUCGUCGCGACUCUAAGAGAUUAGAGUUUUCGGUUCGGCCGGACGAAACACAGGUGCUGCAUGGCUGUCGUCAGCUCGUGUCGUGAGAUGUUGGGUUAAGUCCCGCAACGAGCGCAACCCUCACUUUUAGUUGCCAUCAUUAAGUUGGGCACUCUGAAAGAACUGCCAGUGAUAAGCUGGAGGAAGGUGGGGAUGACGUCAAGUCCUCAUGGCCCUUACGUGUUGGGCUACACACGUGCUACAAUGGCAUCUACAACAGGAAGCAAAACGGCAACGUUAAGCAAAUCCCGAAAAGAUGCCUCAGUUCGGAUUGCACUCUGCAACUCGAGUGCAUGAAGCUGGAAUUACUAGUAAUCGUGGAUCAGCGUGCCACGGUGAAUGCGUUCCCGGGUCUUGUACACACCGCCCGUCACACCAUGGGAGUUGGUUCUACCUUAAGGCAAGGUUUCAAACCCUUGACCACGGUAUAGUCAGCGACUGGGGUGAAGUCGUAACAAGGUAACCGUA